rnacentral:rRNA from 1 species
UGUCCAGGGGGCCGCCUUCGCCACCGGUAUUCCUCCAGAUCUCUACGCAUUUCACCGCUACACCUGGAAUUCUACCCCCCUCUACAAGACUCUAGCCUGCCAGUUUCGAAUGCAGUUCCCAGGUUGAGCCCGGGGAUUUCACAUCCGACUUGACAGACCGCCUGCGUGCGCUUUACGCCCAGUAAUUCCGAUUAACGCUUGCACCCUCCGUAUUACCGCGGCUGCUGGCACGGAGUUAGCCGGUGCUUCUUCUGCGGGUAACGUCAAUCGCUGAGGUUAUUAACCUCAACGCCUUCCUCCCCGCUGAAAGUACUUUACAACCCGAAGGCCUUCUUCAUACACGCGGCAUGGCUGCAUCAGGCUUGCGCCCAUUGUGCAAUAUUCCCCACUGCUGCCUCCCGUAGGAGUCUGGACCGUGUCUCAGUUCCAGUGUGGCUGGUCAUCCUCUCAGACCAGCUAGGGAUCGUCGCCUAGGUGAGCCGUUACCCCACCUACUAGCUAAUCCCAUCUGGGCACAUCUGAUGGCAAGAGGCCCGAAGGUCCCCCUCUUUGGUCUUGCGACGUUAUGCGGUAUUAGCUACCGUUUCCAGUAGUUAUCCCCCUCCAUCAGGCAGUUUCCCAGACAUUACUCACCCGUCCGCCGCUCGCCAGCAAAGUAGCAAGCUACUUUCCGCUGCCGCUCGACUUGCAUGUGUUAGG